AUCGUGGCUCUGGACAGAUGGGUCCGAUUGGGAUUUUGCAAACUGGAAUCCGGGUGAACCCAACAAUGUCGGUGGCACUGAGCACUGCUUACACACCAACUUUCUAGUUCAAGGUGGCUGGAAUGACAUCAACUGUGCAAAUCAGUAUCCAUUCGUCUGCAUGAUUAACAAUGAGGUAGAAGAGUGGAGUGAGGAGGAGUGGAGCCACGAGAGACACUAAAGAUGUCCGACCUUCACUACACUUCGGCUGUUUCUAAAUAAAAACACAUCUAGCAUUCA